AGCCGUAGUGGAGGCAGCGGGAGCGGUGCAGCGCACGCGGUGAGGGCCGGAGGGUUCGGCGCCUCUCGGCGGCCCCGAGGUGAUGCUGGGGAAGCGGGCGUAUAGUGUGGGCGUCGGAGCCGUGGCCGCCCCUCGGGUGAGCCUGAGCCUCGCUUGGGCCUGGCCCUCGGAAAGCUCGGUGCGGAGAGCGGCGGUCCUCUGAGGGCAGUAGCCGGGCCCGGUAAGCACCUCACCCCGAGAGGGGUGCUGGGUGAGGGAGGACGCCGUGUCUGUGUCUGGAGACAGGGAUGCUGCUGGCUUGUUUUUUUUUGAAGAAGCUGUAUGAUCUCUGGAGGCCCCUUCCAACCCCUACAAUUCUGUGAUUUUCGUUCUACUAACUAAUUAGAUGAGCAAAUCUGUCGCUGGAUUGUGUUGGAGAAGAUGAGCUGCUUGUUGAAGAUUUGAAACAAACAACAAAAUCCUCUUACAUGGCAGUCAGCUCCAAAGGGACCAGCUGUAGGAGUGCACGCUCAGCUGAAGCAUUAGAAGUAUCCCUGUGUGCCUGUUCCAUGGCGCUGCUGAGGUCUGAGCCCAUCAGUUCUGCCCAUGGGAGGUUGGGUAGUGCUGGUCACUGUCACAUCAUGCAUUCACAUUUCUGUAUCCCAGGGUAAACUCAUGCACAUGUUACUUCAUAAGGCAAGCCCCCUAACUCUUAGCUAUCCAUGAGACCCAAGUGAAUCUUACUAGUAAUAGACUGCACUGUGUUGAGGGAUCCAAGAUGUUGAUGAUGAAGUCAUUGUAAACUUGUCCGGAAGCUGAUGAGGGAAUGCUUUGGCACACUACUUUGUAUAGGUCCUGUAAGCACCUAGCUGCAGGUUCUGCUACCUAUUAUCAUGGCAGAACUACUUAAUAAUGUUCAUUCCUAAGUGAACAUUAAGCCUUUCAAAACUCUGACUUCUGUCAUUUUGUUCCAGUGUUAUUUUGGCUUUUAACCCAAAUGUCUGAUGUUAGCACAAGUAACUUCUCGUGCAGAACAUCAAAAGCAAACACAAAUAGAACAGGAAUCUUUUUUUUUUUUUUUUUCCUACAGUUAUGUCUUGCACUUCAGUGAACUUGAAAGGAAUCACAUACAGCUGUAACAGAAAUGAUUGCAUCCAAAUUGCCUGGUUUGGCAAAACAGCUUACAAGUCUAGCCAUGAGAAAAGGCAUUUGAAUAGCAUUUGGAUUUUUAUGGGAUUCUAUUUGAUCCAAUGCCUCUUCUGCUUAGAAAAGAACUCUCAAAGAAAAAAACAAAAACAUUUAAAUAUGGGGGGUACACAUGCAGUUUUGAAAGGGAACAGGCUGUGUUUCUUAACAGCGAUGAAACUCUGUUUAUACAGCAGCAGUUCAAUUCACUGUAUUUACUGAGAAAAUACAGUAUUGUGGUUAAGUCUGCCCUUGCAAUGUUUCGACCCUUCCCACUUGCUUUAGAGUUGCAAAGGAAUGCAUACAAUGCUUAUCAACAAUUGCACAGUUCUUCAGAUACACUGACACUAAAAGUACUGUGUAAUACAAAAACUGCAGAAAAGUACAUCCACUGAAAAUGAAGCUAAAGCUCUGCAUUCUAGCAACUUUGUUCCACAAGUUAGAGGCCUACACGUGAAAAGCAAUCCUAGUAAAAAUGAAUGUAGCUGCAUGCAUGUGUGCUGCCAUAUGAGCGUUUUUAAGGGAUCGCUCACCACGCUGCCAUGGUCAUGCAAGAAUAAGUCUCUUAACAGGUUGGAAAUGUGAAGUAAGGAAUAGCAAAACAGCUGCUAUCAAAAAUAAGUUGUACUGUGACCAAAGUUAGUUAAAUAUGACUAGACAUGAAUAAAAAUACUUAAAUAUUUUCUAGCAUUAUUCCUUCACUCAAGUAAUUGCACCAAGAAUCACAGAGUCACAAAUUGUAGGGGCAGGAAGGGACCUCUAGAGAUCAUCGAGUCCAGCCCCUCUGCAAAGCAGGCCCCUUACAGCAGGCUACACAGGUAGGCGUCCAGCCAGGUCUUGAAUAUCUCCAGAGAAGAAGAAUCCACAACCUCCCCUGGGCAUGACAUUAUUCCCUAAAAGACUUGAUACAACACGUAGUCCAGUAAACAGGCUUUAAAUCUUCCAAUCCUAGUUUUGGAAAAGGGAGCCAGUGGUAAGAAGCUUCUGACUUCUGAGCAGUGGAUAAAUUAGGUACUGGUGAUCAGUGCUGAACAGUAGAGUGUUCUUGGUAAAUUACACAUUUGUUUUAGUGUCGUGGAUGUGAGGAAGUCCAAGUGCAAGAGAGCAUUACGAGAAAGCAAGAGUAGGUUAUGGCUUUGAUUCAUAUUAGUACUGCAAAGUACCCAGGCCCAAAGCAGAGAUCAAAUAUGAGCAAGUCCGAGGCCCAGUGCUGCAAAGGUUUGGAUUUCUCAUAUGUGAGACAUCUGUGAAAGAGGUGGCCCAGGCUUUCAGUCUCUUACCUGCAGGCUUCAGUUGCAUCCUCUGCACUGGAUAAGGUAGUCAUGGCUCUCUGCUCAGUGUGUUCAGUUCACUGAAACAGCACAAAACCCAUCAAAAAUUAUUAAUUUCAACUUGUAGCUGUUAGAUUCAGUGCAGAGGUAGCAACAGGAAACCACAGCAGAGAUUUCAGAAGGGAAGCUGAACCAUUCCACUCAGCAGAAACCCAUACUUCAGUCAGGCAAAGCUCCGCCCAUCAACACAGAGUUACGCCUUACUGAAGUAAGUUCUGUACAGUUUUUGUGUACACCCUACACACACACACAAAAGGCUUUUCAACAUCCUGUUCUUAGCAAAUGAAAUACCAUGUGGAUAAGCAUUACUCUUAUGGUAGCCUUCUUGUUCUGGAAAUCAUCUCAGCGAUUUUUUUUUUCCUGAUCAUUUUGCUUAAAAAAAAACCCGAACAUAUAUAUUAUUGUUAUGUUUGUUCAUACUUGUCUAACAUGUCAAAACGAUAUUUUCCUUUAGAACGAAGCAAAAUCAUUUUCUACAUAGAUAAUAGCUGUAAGGUAUUUUAUUUAGCUGAUAUAAGUCCAUCUAAGCCAAUAUACUAUUGCAGCAAUGUUGUAAAGUAAUUCAAACCAAUUCAACUAUUACACAGCUUGUUUAGAAGAAAACAUGUACAGCUAAUGAAAGAAAUUACAUUCAACCAAUUAUUAUACUGCCAUCUAGUGCUUACUGAAUGUACAGCUGUACAGAGAAAUUCUAUUAAUUUAAUCAAAGCAUAAAGGUGUAGACUAUCCCGAAUUGGAAGGGGCCCAACAGGGUCCAAUCCCUGGCUGCACACAGAAUUCAAACCUAAUGUCUGGGAGUGUUGUCUGAAUGCUUCUUGCAUUCCGGCAGCUCAGUGUUGUGACCACUGCUCUGGGGAGCCAGUUCCGUGCCCUCUCUGUUUCAGUAGUUUGUGGUUCCUACCAUUGGCUUAUAGCAAAAGAAGAGUUCAGCUCACGCAUUUGAAUAUAGACAUGCAUAUAGGGAGCUUAACUAAGAGCAGCAGUUGCGAGCAAUUUAAACUGAAAAGUGACAGAAUAUGCUGAAAGAAUCAAUUUGAAUUUUGAUUGUUUCACACACACAUCAGUAAGCCUGGAGGACCAGUACUUGAACAGCCUACUGGAGGGACAUUCAAAUAUAGAUUGAGAAAGAGCAAGUGGGAUAUAAUUCACACACAGCACAAAUUCUUUCCUUGUACAAAGAGGCAAUGAAAUCAAAGACAUUAAAAUAUUAAAAUAUGAUAUUAACAGGUUUUCCACAGACAGCUUGUUUUUGGUGUAAAAAAUGAUGACAAGUGUUUGAAAAUUCAUUGUAAAGAUUAAGAGCUCAGGAUCAGUACAUUUAGUUAGGCAAGAUAUCUAGUAAAACUGAAUUUCUAUUAUAUUAAAUGAAAAGUGAAGGGGAAAUCUAAGUCAAAAUAUAAAGGGGUUUAGUCCAGUAAUUCUGGUACAAGCAGAUGCUCAUAUAAUGAGUAGUUUAUUAUAGUGUUCCUGGAGUACACUUUUCAAUGACAUCAGGAAUAGUUUCUUGCUAUUUCUAUUAUGCCCAAGAAGAACAUUGGGAUCCAGGCUAAUAUACCACAGAAAAAAAUAGGUAUCCUCAGAAUCUAAAAUAUUAAGAAGACUACAGUAUCAGAAUACUAAUAUUUAGCCAUGCAGACAAAAAAAAUUAAGUUAAUACAAUCAUGGAAGCAUAGAAUGGCUUGAGUUGGAAGGGACCUCAAGGAUCAUCAGUCUGCAGCCCCCCUGCUACAGGCAGGGCUGCCAACCUCCAUAUCUAAUACUAGACCAGGAUGCCUAGGGCCCCAUCCAACCUGGCUUUGAUGCAGUUUAUGCAUAGUUUAUGCACAGUUUAUGCAAGCUAGUUCCUGUCAAGUUGAUUUUAUGAUCUUUGAAGAAAAUAUUCGGGAAAUAGAAAAAUAUUUGUGGAAAACAAAACCUGUUUUUUCCUUGCAAUGUCAUUCUCUAUUUUAAUUUUACCCAUUGGUUUCUUAGGACAAAUUAUCUCCGAUAUUCCUCUUUUUCCAGGAAAAUCACCCGGCCAUACUAUUUAAACCCAAUUAUUUUCAGAAAUAACUCUGCAUUUCCCUUAUCAUGUACAGUUCAGGUAUAUGCUUGUCCUACUGUGAUACCUUUAUAAUACAAUAUAAAAAAAAGACGUGAUUUUGAAACAUCAGAAGAAAGUGACAAAAUUCAUAGUUAAAAAUUACGUAGGAUAAACUUUUUGCCCUGCUAAGUAGGUGGUUUCUUAAGCCCCAAAGCAUUUAAAACUCUAAUUCAUCUUUCACUCAAGGCAAACGAUACACUGAGAUAUUCAUUUCUAAAGUUUGAUUUACAUUUCUGUGGAAAAUUUCUACAAAUAAAUGUGAAAUUAAGAGUUGUAUCCGUUAUCGAACCGCUAUUUAUUUGCUCUUGAAUACAGCUGGAAAUUUGGUAGAAUAAAGAAAGCAAGAGUGCUCAUUCUUUUCUAUACAACUCUUUAAUUCACUGUUACAUUAUGUCCUUUGUCUCAUCUGUAUUAAGCAGUCGAAAUUGUCUUUCCAUAGAGGUAAUAACUUUUAUCUACUUAUUUUCAUCAGUCCUAUAUCUGGACUCCUUUAUAAACAUACAGGAUGUUUUGCUAAGUAGUUUGUACUAAUAAAAUAGAAUUAUCCUAUGGCUA